UGUUUUUUUUUUUGCGCCCAUAGAGAUAGAUAAAAAAGUAGAUAUGCUCUCACAUCGCGUAGGAAGAAACCUUCCGAGUACCGUUAGACAUAUUAAGGACCCCUUAUCCAAAAAUGAAUAAAGUCCGAGGAUUGCUGUGUGCUUUCCGGGCUGUAUGGCCAUGUUCCAGAAACAUUCCUCAUAACGUUUCUCCCGCAGAUAUUGUGAGGUUUGUUGGGACCCAGUCAAAUGGGGUUUAUAUAUCUGUGGAGGGUCCAAGGUGGGAGAAAGAACGCUUGUCUGUUGGAGGCCAGCAUGAAUGGUGCAACUGGCCAUUUUGAUUAGCAUUGAAUGGCAUUUCAGCUUCAAGGCCUUGCUUCUUCCUGCCUGUGGGAAUCCUUUGUUGGGAGGUGUUAGCUGGCCCUGAUUGUUUCAUGUCUAGAAUUCCUGUUUUCUGAGCCAGAGAAGUCAGUCAUAGCAAGGCACUUGAUGAACCAACCUGGAUACAGCAGAUUAUUUGAGAACACAGAAAUGCUGGACCACUCUAACAACCACAAUGUCAGACUACGCUGAGAAGCCACUGAAAUCUACAAGCACGUGGACACUUUCAACAGAAGAGGAAACCAUGAAAAUGAACAAAAUCUGGCUACCAGUAUUUAAAAAAACUCUAAAAUCAGGACAGCAAAGAAAGAGCAACACUCAAAAAGUGUAUAAACCCCAGUUGUCUAGUUUCCAACAGACAACACAACCUCUGAAUAUGCCUGUCAUAGAUGUGAAUGAAAGGUCAGGAAAGAAUGGUUUUGGAACAUGGCCAUACAGUCUGGAAAACUCACCCAGUGAUUCCAGCCAUGAAAGCUUUCAACAACUUGGUCUUAUCUCAGAUCUCCAGAAAGUGGUCUUCGGCUUUGUACCAUCACAACUAUAUUUUGAGUAGAUUCAUGGCCCAAGGUCUCUUCUGUUGUUGUUGAUUUGAGGUAAAGCAAAGAAGAAACAGUUGGGAGAACAGGAAAGCAUCAAGAAGACAGGUCAAGUAGAAAAACAGAAUUCAGCAGAAAACAGAAAUGAAGUGAAAAUUGCAAAUAUCGUAAUAGGAAAUGAUUUGCCUUUGCCUGAGACUGAAUCAUGGCUUUGUUACUGCAGAACAGGAAAGACAUCAAUUGCUUUCCUAUGCAUGUCCACUGCUAAUGUCCAUAAACAUAGCUUCAUGUGCUACAUAGGCAGAAAACGUAUGCUAUGUACAUUUCAAAUACACAAUGAGUGAAAACACUCUAAAAACCUCUACUUGCAUAUACUGUGGAGAAUGAAAAGUGGCAGUGGCCAAAUGUAAAAUAAGUUGGGGGGAAAAAAGAGAUUGCACAAAUAUGUAUAUGGUGUACCAAUUUUGGAGUGUAUACCAGCAUACAGACUUUAAGUCUGAGUUUCCUUUUUCCAAAUGUGGAUCUUAAAAGAAUUCAUGGUAAUAUGUAAUCGUCUUGAAGCUGUGAACCAAUACUGCCUAUGUUAUUCUACAUAAAGGCGUUAAAGCAAUAGGAUACGGACACCUUAAGUUAUUUAAAGUUCUGUACUACAUUGCUCUGGACUGGAGUAAAGAAUGUAAACUGGUCAUCCUGCUGAACAAGCAACCAAUGUCUGCUUCAGUAAGUGCAAGCUUUUAUUGUGUGCUGGGGGAGGAAUCAGACGGCCCUCCAAGUAUUGUGGGACUACACGUUCCACCAAGUCUAGCCAGCAUAAAGCAAUGGAAAGGAAUACUGGAAAAUGCAGCCCAACAUCUCCAAGGAGGUUAGCAGUUUCCCGGAACAUCGCCAUUUCCUUCAGGAUCACAAACAAUUACUUACUUGAGUGUUAACUUUGUGUUGCAAGUAGAACAUGCAAAGCAGUUCACACACCAUGCCUUAUUCAAAGCAGAAACCACUAUGAAAAAAGAAGUAACAGGAUUAACUAGAUGCCAUUACUAACAGCAGUUGUUUACAUAUAUCAUUAUAAUGUCACAGCAUAUGUUGUCAUAGUAAUAUCUCAAAAGACAGAUACAAAAUUGUCCAAAUCACUGUACAUUGUUUGAAAUUGAAGAUCUGUACAAGCAGAUUUGACAGCAGAACAUUUGGUAUGGUGUCUAGGCUCAGUAUGCCAUAUGAAUACACUCAUUAGUAUGUACCAUGCUUGACUUUUAUAACAUUUACACAGAUUCAGCACUUUUCCACUUUGUGUGGCUAUUGAAGCUAGGGCUGAACCUUUCUAACCACUUCCAUUCUCUGGAUUGCAGAUUAGCCAAGCAGCAAGUGGCUGGAAAGCUGCCAUAAACUGUCCACAAUCCAACAGAAUAAAAGUAGAUUAGUGGGAUUUCGGUAGUAAUAAUGGACAGUAUGCAACAGCCUGUCACAGUGAGUGAUGUUGCUGUUUUUGCCUUCUGUGUAUAACUGCUCUAGCCAUGAUGAAGGGGAUCCACCAUGAACACAUGGAUUGCAUGACUGUGAUUUUAUAUGAAUUGUCUGGAUUAUGGAGUACAGUUGCCAAUGCAUAAUAGGACUCAAGUGUCUUAAUGAUGGGAUUAUACAUUUUGAUGUUCUACAGCAGAUAUGAGAAAAUUGGGCUUGUUUUUGUGUACCUAGUCACCAUCACUCUAAAUGGUGAAUUGCCAAGCUUCCAAGUGUGGUGAUUCUCUUUUUAAAAUUGGACAGUCCCCCACCACCCUAGUUAAGAUUACAAAGAAAAUCUGAAUUGUUCAUAACCAAAACUAAACUUCUGACCACUUCAUUUGUUGUGGGGGUUAUUGUUUAUUUUGGCUAUACAUUGAGCUCUCUAAAAUUUGGCACCUAGAGCCACUUUUGGCUGAUCUUUCCCAUUAUUUACUGUAUCAGUGCAAGUACUAUGACCAUAGUAGCAGUAAUAGGACCGUAAUCUUGACACUGUUUUAUUAUAAUAAUUAUUAAAAGCUUUAACAUGGAAUCUGAGUUAUGUACAAUAAAAUAAUUUAAAAUACUUGUAGAUUAAAAUAAUAACCACUUUAUAUGCUACCGUGUAAAACCAUGCACAUUUGCACUAUAAAAUAAAUUAAUUCCUAUUGAAAACACCAGGUUUUGGCUUGGUGCCAGAAAGAAACCUUUGUGCCAUUUGGACAGCCAAAGGGAGUUCAUUUCAUAAUUGGGGUGCCAGAGUUGACAAGGCCCUCCUCCAAAUUCUCCCCCUUUGGAAGGGGCACAGAAGAAUUCUGGCAGGUAUUAUAUUUUUCAUUCUCCACCUUUCAAUCUUCAGUGUUCUACAAAAAUUUAUAGCUUGGACAGAAUUGCAAGUCUUGAACCUGACAGCCUGGAUUGACAACCAGGGUAUCACUGCUCUAAAAUAAAGGUGUGAAAUAAAUGAUAACUAUUCCAUGUUAGUUUUAGCACCAUGAAUAUUUUGAGAUAUUUAAUUUUUGAAAUAAGCUUUACCAGCUCUUUAUGGUUCCUUACAAGAAACAUUUCCUUUCUCAGACAUCCUUUGUAAAGUGCUUUUUUACUGAAAAGAUGAAACAAGAAUAUCUAUGGGGACUCACCAUCUCCUUCAAUCACACGAUUACAGUGGAAGCAAACAUCACCAAACAGCUGUGAAAACAGAAAAUAUGUCUAAAUCAGGAACACAUCCACAGAACAUUCAAAAAUGAAAAUCAGCAGCUAAAAGCAUCAAAAUGUGCCUUAUUAUUCAAAUGAUAUGUGCAAACUUUACAUGUGAAAUUUGUUAUGCCUGAAGAUGUUUCCAGAUAAACCUUAUAUUAUGAAACUGUCCUGCUACAUGCACAUAAUUUUAUUUGGUGUGUGUGUAGCCUUCUUCACUGAGAUGUAGGAUUAGGGAUUGGUGUUACUUGUUACUUGUCUAAUGAUUAUAGCAUGCUUGUUUUUGCAGACCAAUAUGAUUAGACUAAACCUUUUCUUAGCAACAUUUAUUUUCAAUCAAUUGCAACUGUCACUGCUGCUUUUCAUCUGUCAAAAUGUGUGAAGCAAUGCAAACUGGAAAAAAAGCUGUUUAGGUUAUUUUGGAGCUUGUUUCAUUGCAUGUUUCAAAUAACAAAUUAAGCUCAGUUUAUUACAGAGCCAUCAACUUUAAAAAUGUUGUAUUGAAAACAAUGACAAAAGACCACUAGCGAUCAGAGAAAAAUUUUUACCUGAAAAAUGACUUUGUCCAAGCAUGAUCUUCAGAUCAAUGGCUUUGUGUUUCAUUUCCAUUUUAAGCAAAAAAUUGCUUUUAUGAGUUUCUUAGCAAAGCAGUUCACAUAUUUUGAUUUAAUUUUAAAGGGAGAUGCUGCAGUGUUUGAAUUUGCAACCGUGUAUGAAAGAAUCAAGGCCCAAGCUCAACAAGGAUUCCACACUGAACCAAUUGCCCUCACCUGCUAUGAUGUAGGGUUGUCUGAAUCCCAUCCAAGGAUUACAUAAUGUUACACCAAGGUGACAUUUGGGUUGUCAAAACAUUUUUGAAACAAAUAUAUAGAAGUGGGCUUGUUUUAUGCUAUGGAAGGCCAUUGGCACAUUUAGUUUGGUAUUAUCUACGCUGACUAGCAAAGUCAGUGCAGCAAAACAUCUGAUUUUCCCCACCAGGGAAGCCACAGACUCAACCUGGCAGCUUCUACACUCAUGCUCUCAGCAAAGGCAUCAAGCAAUCACUUGGCAGUGGACAAUAAAGCAGUGUUGGUCUAUGCUCAUUAAAAUACAUUCAUUUUAACAUGUAAUGUUGAAAGUAAGAUACUACUUUUUCACAUGAACCUGAUUUACAAGUAUUUAAAAAGCAGAAUGGAAAUUUUAAAACUAGUAUACUAAAAAUAUCUCUUAAGAUGAUAAUGCCAUAUAAAAUGCAAUCAUACCUGAUUAUAAUGUGUUUCACAAUAUGCCAAUCCCUUCCUCUCAUAGUGACGGUGGCCAAGGAAUGGUUUUUCACACUUUGCACAAACAAAAUGCUAGAAAGGAGAAAGAAGUACCAGUUAUCUUUAUUUUUCUGUUAUUGUAUUGUCGAAGGCUUUCUGUUAUUUUCUGUUAUUGUGACCGUAUCUCCCCCUAUGAACCUGCACGAUCUCUUCAUUUGUCGGGGGAGGCCCUUUUCUCGCUUCCACCCCCAUCACAAACGCGGCUGGUGGGGACGAGGGAGAGGGCCUUCUCCAUGGUGGCCCCCCGGCUCUGGGACUCGCUCUUCAGGGAGAUUAGGCAGGCCCCCACCGUGGUAGUAAUUAGGAAGAGCCUAAAAACUUGGCUCUUCCAACAGGCUUUCGGAGAAUGAAUUCCCCAUCCCCAUGAUAGUCUUUGUAUCUGUGGCCAUUUCCUCAUUUAUGGCACUUUAUCUUGCCCUACCAGUUUGUUUACAAUCACAGGGAUCACCUCAUCCCAAGCUGCUCUCUCAUUGAUGGUUGCACUGAAUCAAUCUACCUCAUGUUAUAAUACUCAUUGUACUUUGCCCAGUUCAGGUUUUUUUUUUUACCCGUUUACUUGGGUGCCAAUUCCUUGUUUUAGUAUGACUAUUAUUUUAUAUUCUUGUUAUGUUUACUGUGUUGAAUUUUAAUCUGUGUCUGUAUUUUCUGAUGUUUUUAUUUGGUUUGCUGUUUUACCUGGGUUUGGCCCCAUGUAAGCCACCCCAAGUCCCCUCGGGGCAAUGGAGGUGGGGUAUAAAAAUAAAGUAUUAUUCUGUCACUCCA